UACGUAGGGCGCAAGCGUUGUCCGGAAUUAUUGGGCGUAAAGAGCUCGUAGGCGGCUUGUCACGUCGGGUGUGAAAGCCCGGGGCUUAACCCCGGGUCUGCAUUCGAUACGGGCUAGCUAGAGUGUGGUAGGGGAGAUCGGAAUUCCUGGUGUAGCGGUGAAAUGCGCAGAUAUCAGGAGGAACACCGGUGGCGAAGGCGGAUCUCUGGGCCUUGCCUGACGCUGAGGCGCGAAAGCUAGGGGAGCGAACAGG
rnacentral:rRNA from 1 species